AGGUCAAUCCACAGCUGUGAAGUUGUUUUGAGAAUGGCAGGCUGAGAAGGCUUCCCAGAGGCUCCAGAGCCAGGACAAAACAGAUGGCCCCUCCCCCGCUAACAUUCCCAGGAAGGUGAAUCAAAUCCCAGGGUAGAUAGGCGCCAGGAAAAAGGUUAUAAACCUCAGGGCCCCCCUCCCCACCAGAACAGUAGCGCUGUGGGACCUGACUGGGUUUGGGCUUUGAGUUCUCCAGGAUUCUCCCCACCAAGAGAUGGGGCCGACAUCUCUCCUCCCCAAGGCCAUGGAAUUGGCCCUGCACCCUGUGGGGCUUCGUUGGAAGGCUGGGACCUUCAGGCCAAUAUUGUGGUUCCUGCUCUCGUUGGCGUCUCUGAACUAAAGGAGCCAAAUCUUUUCCAGGGUUUGAAAUUCCAGACGCGGCGGCAGAAAAGCUGAUGACUCCUCAGGAUAUUAUGGAUUAUAUUGCCGAUACGCAAGACGUGUAUGAUUGAGCUUCUCAAGUGGAGUAUUCCUUGUUUUGUUCCGAGAGCUGGAUGAAGGGAUGGAGAAGGACGAGCCUGGCAAGCCACCCCCUUUGCGGUUUGGAAUCCCUGGGGCUCUCAGUUUUGUUUAUCCUAUUUAAAGUUGUAAAUGUUGGCCAUCAGAAUAAAUAUGAAAAAUUCUUA